rnacentral:lncRNA from 1 species
UUUUUAGACGUUUUUAUUUUAAUUACUCAAAUUUAAAAAAUUUAUAAUUUAGUCAACUAUCAUUAGAAAUUUUUUAUUUAAGUCUCUCAGUAAUCCCAUAAAAGGACAUCUGUCUUGGCACAGCAAAUCCCAAUCUAAUAUAACUUUUUCGCCAAUUGAAUUUUUCUUUCAUUUUUUUCUUUUGGUCAUAUUUCAUCAUUCUUCCCUAGCAAGAGAUGUAGGACUUGGGGAACUGUCCCUUUUACCGGUAUUAUCGAAUCAAACACGCUGAUUUUGCUUAUAGAACACACCCUUUAUGCCUCAAUGGCCAACCCCAUAUCUUUCAUCUCUCCAUAAAAUCUCGUUUCAGCUCUUCCCACAGCCAUUCAUUUGGGAUCUCUGUUUCCAUAUCGGUAACUACUCUGUUUCUAUUAUAUCUCUCUUUUAAUUUCAUCAUUAUACUUUUAAAUUUGUUGUUUCUUUUUUCUUUUUCUGUCAUAAUCAAAGUAUUUAUUUUCUUGUCAAAUCAUAUAAAUUUCUUCACUAUCCACAUCCUCUUAUAAUUCCCAUUAAUGUAUCUGACAUUGUCAAUUUCGUUUAAGAUCUGUUGUUUUAAAUUUGGGGUGUUUGUUAUUUUUUUGAGAAUAAAUUUAUAAUCUUUUUGGGUUUCCAAAAUGUUAUCUAUUAGCUUUGAAUCCACUAAAAAAUAAUAUGCUACUGGCAGUUUAGUAGUUGGUUAUGCACUUUGUUCAAGCGUACUUGCUGUUAUAACCAAAUUCAAUUACCUAGGUUUAUUGACUGCAUUACAUUCCUUAACUUCUGCUUUAGGGGUCUGGGUUUUGGGAAAAUUUGGAUUUUUACAUCAUGAACCAUGCGAAUGUGGAUACUUCCAUAGUGUUUAGAUCACUGACACCCUUUUUGGGUUGCCUUGGCUGAUACAACCUUUAGGAGGCAAACCUUGUCCUUCAAAGCUCACAUUUAUGUCUCUUUUGAUCAUUUUGGGUGGUACUGUUGAGUAUGUAGCUACUGAUUCCGCUUUUACUUUGAUUGCUUAUUCAUGAGCGUUUGCGUAUUUGGCUACGAUCACCACUGAAAUUAUUUACACCUUGGAUUGAGUUCUUGGGGCUUUGUGUUGUACAAUAAUUUGUUGUCCUUAUGAUGUUAGAAAAGGUGGUACGCAAAAGAAACUUAUGAAGUAAGAAAGAAAAAUUAAGGAAAGAAACAAAUAGGCUUGAAGUGUGAUUCAUUGACUUGGCUUUAAUUUGCUUCAUAUAGACACUUAUUACGUAACCUGUGGUACAAGUUACGUUUUUCUCUAACAUUGUAACUUUUCAGAAAGCUAUGUUUUUUUCAUUUAAUGUAUUUUCUGAAAGUUUGGUAUUCAAAUAUAUUUAUUCAACGCAAAUAAAAUAAUUGUUAUGAUUAUUUCGAAAAUAAAAAAUAAUAACUAUAUGUACAUAAAGCCCAAGAAUCUACCAUUUGACCUGUAAAUAUGUACAUAAAGUCUAAUAGGUAAGCCCACUUAACUAAUGGGCUACACACUCAAUUAUCCAAAUUGUAAAGAAUUUAAUAUUUGUUAGCAAGGUGGGAUUAUUAACAUUGCAAACUAUUAACAGAUGACCUAUAUUUUAGGUUUUGAUUGGAGAAUACGAUUAGAUUGUUUACCAUGAAAGUUCCAAGCAAGAACAGGGACCAAAAAUGGGAAUUACACUAGUACCAACACAACCUCAAAGAGAUAAUCAAGAUAGCUAUGAGAUGCAUAUAACAACAGAGGGUAGUUCUGAAGCAGGGGAAGGCAUCUUUGGUUCUCAGAAGUUGGUGUGGGAUGAUAUGAUCAAAUCAGGUGUUGGAAGUAGGAGCAUGGGAGGGAAACAAAGUUGGGUCGGGUUGGGGAAGAAGAAGAAUGAAAUAUGACAAAAGAGAAGGAAAAAAAAAAGAAAGAGAAAUUUUUUAUUGGUGAAAGGAGUUAGGUUAGUGAGAAUUUUCUAACGGUAGUGACUAAAUUACAUUUUUUUUUAUUUGAGGGAUCAAAAUGAAAGGGCUUAAAAAGUUGGGUAAUCAACUAGGUAGUUUAUCUUAAUUUAUUUUAUUUAAUUUUAUAGCAAUAUAGGAGGACAUGGGUUCGAGUGUACUGAAUCUCAUUAUCCUCUUAUUUAUGGAGAAGGACUAUGUAUAGUUUUAAACAUUGUCUUCUCAAAAAGAAUUUUCUAACGGUAGUGACUAAAUUACAAGUUUUUUUUAUUUGAGGGAUUAAAAUGAAAGCACUUAAAAAGUUGGGUAACC